GUGCGAACAGUCUACUCUAACGCAGUAAUGCCGACCAGCUCCAACCGGGUGCCGCCAAAUCGAACCCUGGUUCGAAUUCCGCACGGCCGUGGCUGCGGAAAGAAACAAAAGAAAGUGGAGGAAGAGGAAGAGGAGGAGGAGGAAGAGGAGGAGGAGGAAGAAGAGGAAGAGGAGGAGGAAGAGGACAGGAUGAAGAGAAGAGGAUAACGAUAACGAAGACAACGGCAACGAGGAAGAUAACGACGACGGCGACGAACACGACGUGGAAGGUGAAUAAAAAGAAGUCACGAAGGUGGAAGAGAAAGAAGAAGAAAAAGGAAAUAACAGUGCACGCUCACACAUGCCCAUUACGGAGGACAAACAAAACGGAGGUUUUAGCUCCAUUUCAAACAGUACGACGAUGUAAAUAAUAAGGCAACAACAGAAUCGAGGACACACUUGCUUUACUACAUCAUCCUUUUUGAUGCCAUUCUUUAGACUUUGAAUGUCGUAAGAAGAGCGAGCAAGAAUGAAAGAGAAACAAGGGAAACGCUGAGAGCAACAUCGCGAAAAAAAGUGUCUUUCAAAGCGGAUACUCGCUCUCUCCUACACAUAAGAGCAGAAUGUUUUGUCAUUCCGCGCAUUUACUCGAACACGCGUAUCGGAUAUGCGUUCUACGAUACAAGAAGCAAUUCUCUAAGCGAAGCUGUCGAGAAGAUCAUCGAUAAUAGGAACAAAAAUAAUCAGGAAGUUCAACAACCAAAGAAUAUACAGAAAUAAAAAAAAAACGCUACGAAAUUUAUGAAGUCAACUAAUCAACUCAUCGAAAUUACAUAUUUCGAUCUAACGGUACAGCCCAGCAACCGUUUCGUCAUUUUCCUUCAAAUUUAACGCAUUUUUAAAGGACCAAUGAAUCUUCCCGCAACGGAGACAUUAUGCAUCAUCAUAGAUAAUCGCUUCACAACAACUGUUCAUCGUUCUCGCGAGAGCAGUUUUUGCGUGAGUACACGGACACGUCCCACCGGAUAGGAAAGAGACUAGAUACUGCGAUAGAAACUAGAAGUUCAAGCUGCAACUUUAAGUCCCUUGUGAAUAAUCGCUGGCGAUUUCCUCGAAGCAAAAAUCUCUACAUUCAUAACGGCGCGUGAUAGUCGAUGACUGCCGCAGCUGGUCAAAGAUUGCAGAAAAUCCGCCCAAGCGACGAGAUAAAUUCUCUCGCGUGUGCCUCGUGGACGUACAAAACAAAUUAAAAGAAAGGGAAUAAAAAGAAAGAGAAAAGAGGGAAAAAUAAAAAAAACACAAGAACGGCGCUUAAAAGUACGAGAGGUGGUUGUUCGCCUGAGCACGCUGAUAAACGCUGAGUAAUGGGGACGCAAAUUACGUGCGAGGAAUACUGCGUGAGAAAUGAGUGCCCGAUGCAAAUUCUGCUGGCCGCUAGGACAAUGCAGCGACCGAUACUGCCGGAUACUGUAACUCUGUCUAAACGAUUCACCAUGAUCACGUGGACCGAGGAUAGGCUCACAAAGCAAAUCGGCCGUCCAUCGUCUCCGUGAUGAUCUGAGAGGAUGUACGUUAAUCCCAGGAGGAAUUAACCAAUUAGUACUGACGAUAGAGGAUUUGCACUAAGUUAAUACAACGAUGAAUAUCAAUACAACGGAGAUCACGGAUAGAUUACGUUAUUCGUCAACAAUGAUAGCUCUCAACUUUGUCCUCGUUAUGGACCAAGAUAUAUAAUCUGCAGGAUACUACAACACAUUAUAACAUUCAUGAAGCAUAUACGAAAUUUUAGACGGAUUACUCCUUAGCAACUCAAUGGCUUUUAACCUUGGUUUCACGAUGCAACAGCGUGGCGAUAUUAGGUCUGUAUAGACUACAUGAUAUCACGAGUCAGUGUGUACAAACUUUGCAGUACUACAAACCAGCAUGUAUAGUCUUCACAAUAAGAAGUGACUCAGCAAGUAAAGUAUCUGUUCGGUCUCUCCGGUAUCAAUUACACCUCACUUCCCGGAUUUGUUCCGAGAUUGACGCAGGCAGACUCUUCGCCGACGAAGUGACUGUGCGAUUAUUCGAAGAACAUACGUUCAGCUUUAAACGGAAGAAGUGGUUACCGCGUUGCUCUCGAGAUCCAGCGUAUCGGCGCGAGUGCGCACCUUUAAUCGUAUAG